rnacentral:rRNA from 1 species
UACGUAGGGGGCUAGCGUUGUCCGGAAUCAUUGGGCGUAAAGCGCGCGUAGGCGGCCCGGUAAGUCCGUUGUGAAAGUCAAAGGCUCAACCUUUGAAUGCCGAUGGAUACUGCCGGGCUAGAAUCCGGAAGAGGCGAGUGGAAUUCCUGGUGUAGCGGUGGAAUGCGCAGAUAUCAGGAAGAACACCGGUGGCGAAGGCGGCUCUCUGGGCCUUACCUGACGCUGAGGAGCGAAAGCGUGGGUAGCGAACAGG